CUUGCACCUAAACCAGUUUUGAAAACUAAAAUGUUUAAGUUGCCCAAAACAGUCUAUGAAUGGAGUUGAACUUUUCUGAUGAAGGCUGUUAAAUGAGUUUGGUUGUGUUCUCGGUGUUUUAACCUGUAUCCCCCCCCCCCUUAAAAACUUAAGAAAACAUGAAAAUGUAGGGGUAUGAACUCACCUUAUGUGAUGUAAGUGGGUGGAUGUUGAAGGAGAGAAGUGUUCAACUCAAGAACACUUGAAGAUGCCUAGAAGAUUUUCGAGAAUCAAACAUCAAGGUGAUGGAAUUUGUGUAAGCAUUCCAUGAUAUGAGUAAAGGGGAGUGUAAUAAUCAUAGAGAGGAUGAAUUAUACUUACCAAGAGUGUGAGAAAUCUUGAUAACCAGCCUUAAAUCUCGAAUUUGAGGGAGAAAGUUUGAGAGAAAUGGUGUUUGAUCUUCUUGGUGAAAAUGAGGAAAAAUGAGUAAAGUGAAGGGAGAGAGAAUUCCCUAGCUCUUUGUGUAAGAGUUUGCUGGAAAAAUGAGUGGAACAGGAGCAUGAAGUGACUAGGAGUGGUGGAGAGGGCCAUAGCUGGUCAAAGGAAUGGGCAUGGGGUGGUUGUUUGUGUCAACUAUUAUGGCAAGAUNUCAAAGAUUAUGGCAAGAUCCACACUCCACCUCAUGAUCUCACUUAAUAGAUUUUAUUCUUAAAUAAAUAUUUCCAUCAAAAUAUGUUUAUAUUAUGAAUAUUUAGGGUCUUAUAUGUUAAAAUAUGAUUUCUGGAGAAAAUCCCGCGUUAAAAGGAUGAAAAACAGGCUUAAAAUGUUAAAAAUAUUGAAAACCGGAUAGAAAAUGCUGAAAUCCGAAGUUCAGGGCGAAGUCUUGGUCAUCAGCAGCCUAAAACCGGAGUGGCUUAGUCGCCUGGGUACGGUCCGAGGAGAUGGGAAGCUUAGUCGCGGAUGAAGAAAGGAGGCGCUGCGGUCCGAAGUCAGGAGAACCGGAAGCGAACCUCGGAUACGGGCUGCUCCAUGUGGUUGCGGUCGGUGUUUGCGGCUUGCUGGCUGCGGCUGCGGCUAGAUGACCGCGGAUCCUCAAGGAGACUCCGGUUCAAGGAGGGUUCUGGCCCCUAUAGAGAGGCUUCAGCGCUAAGAGGCUAAUUUCCAAGGAUUCUUCCAGUAUCUAGUGGUUUUUCACCAAGUCAAGUAUCCGAAUGCCCCAAAUAAUCAGAAUAAAUCCAAAAGAGGUUUUGAGAGAGAUUUCACCUUCUUGGAGAGAUUUGGGAGAGAUUUCACAUUCUUGGAGAGAUUUCUCAUACAAAGAGAGAUUUGGGAGAGAUUUCACAUUCUUGGAGAGAUUUGGGAGAGAUUUCACAUUCUUGGAGAGAUUUCUCAUACUUGGAGAGAUUUGGGAGAGAUUUCACAUUCUUGGAGAGAUUUGGGAGAGAUUUCUAGAUAAAGAGAGAUAGAGUGAAAACGAUUGAGAGAGGUUUCGUGCGUGACAUUUGUGAGUGUUUGGCUUUGCAACGCAAGGUCUGUAAGCUCCGUUAAGCCAUGUUUAAGGAUCUUACACACUCCCAAUGAGUAUGCAACAUUGUUUUAUUGGUUUGGUUCGUUACUUACCACGGUUUUAGGUUAAGGAAAUCUAGAUGUAUGAACUUUUCAAUUUAUGAUUUCUCAUUAGAAUAGCGAGUUGUAUAGAAUUACCUAAUGUAAGCCCUAAUACACAAGGGUUAGUUGGGUUGACCGGUUUGACUUGUUGACUUUAUUUGACUUUGACCUAACCAGAAUUUGACGGUUGUCACAUCAUCCCCCCGUUAGAGGGAAUUUCGUCCCGAAAUUAGCACUUUGACUGGGACUUAAUGAAUUUGGGGAAAAGAUGGGAGAAACUUUCCGUAGUACAAGAAAUUGAUUAUGGUGAGGAACAACCCGCCUGAUGUCACAUGACGACCUUGGAAUUUCUUAUUGUUUAUGCUCCAUGUUUAAUCCAUGGCAUUACCACUAUGAAUACAUUAUAACGUAGUUAGCGAGUUCCGUCAUUACGAAUUUUUCACAAAUUGUGACGAAAUUUGUAUUGUAAAUCCUACCAGUCCCUUUAUAUCCGCUUGGUGUAAACUAGUCGCAUAUCAUUAAGAUUGCAAGGGCAUUCGGAUGGGUGACCCCGCCUUAAGCCCACAACCAAACAAGGAACAGGGGAUGAGGCGGAAUCAUGCAUUCUAAGUCCAUAGAAUCUUAAUGAUAUAUGACCAUAAUGUUUACACUAGCCAUCAUAGACUCACUAGUAAAAACCCUGUGUUUUUAUAUAGGUGAUAAGACUUAUUUGAUUUUUGCCGUGUUCUCGAGAUUAAUGGUCGAUAUACUUCAAUCGAUGAUAGAUUUAGCAAAUAAAAGAAAUUUAGAAUUUAAACAUCGAUGUUAGAAACACGUGCUGAUAUUUACGGGCAGUUCCAGGGUGGUCUCUCCUACGGUGAUCGCAAACACCCUUCCACCAUCACUAGCAUCUCUUGCUCUUGGGCAGUCCCUUUUAAAGUGUCCCGUUUCUCCACACUUGUAACAGGCUGGGCUUACUCCAAAGCCAGGUACCUGGUUGAUGGAUCAUGCUGGUGCCUUACAGAAAUGGACAGUGUGCCCCUCUUUGUCGCAAUUUUUGCAAUGCAUCUUCCGGCAAGCCCCAGUAUGAUGGAAGUUACACUUGUUGCAUUUCGGAAGGGUUGCAGCGUAUUGUUUUAUGGGAGUUGGCGUGGUGAGGGUUGUGGCAACAUGAACAGUAACAAUCUGUUGCUUCUUAGCGAAGUCCUGGGCUGGUUGGUCCUUCUUGUUGUCCCAAAACUUUCUUUUAUUGUUCCCUCCUCUUGCUUGGUUAAGGGUAGUUGUCGUAGUGUCAUGGAUGGCAUGAUGGUCGAUGAGUUGUUGUACCAACUCCUUGGCACUGUCAAAGGUAGUUGGUCUUGAGGCCAACACGCUAUCUUGAAUUUCGGGGGACAAUCCCCAGACGUGUCGCUCCAACUUUUUGUCUUUCGGGGUGACCAUCGCGGGACAAAGGAGUGCUAGAUCAUAGAAUCGGGUGGUGUAAGUUGUAAGGUCGGAGCCUAUUAUUUUGAGAUUCCACAGUUCUUGCUCCAACUUUUGCACUUCGCCUCUUGAGCAAUAUUCUCUCAGCAUCAUCUUCUUUAAGUCCUCCCAACUUAACGAGUUAGCCACUGCAAGCGUUAGUGAGUUAACGUGACUUUUCCACCAAGUGAGGGCCCGGCCAGAGAAAGUGUAUGCUGCAAAUUUGACCUUGCUUGCUUCGGGGCAUGCACAAAUUUCAAAGACCGUUUCGGUCUUUUCAAACCAUUGCAUCAAGGUGAUGACGCCCUCGCUUCCAUUGAAAGAAUCAGGUUUGGCACUAGUAAAGUCCUUAUACGAACAUUCACUCGUACGUCUUGUACUGUCCCUGUGGUUAGAGUUUGUGGCUCCAGAUCCAGCACCACCAGUACCAUUUGUACCAAUUUGUGACAUUGCAGCUGCCACGGCUGCUGUUACUGCAGCUUGGAACAUUGCGGGAUCAAACUGUGGAGGUGGCGUUAGAGGUGGUGGUGUUGUGCUGCCGGAAGGUCUGGGUCUUUUCCUUGGUGGCAUAGUUCUGUCAUAAGUUUGUAAAAAUGAUCAGAUGGUAAGUUCCCAAUAGUAAAGACAAGUCGGUUGUUAUUGAACUAGAUUUUAUGUAUUAUGCUCCGACUUAAGAAUGUCUUGCAUAUAAUUCAUAAGGGAAGUCCAUAUGAAUGAAUUUCAGGAGUUUAGUAGGUUUUGUACAGGUGUUAAGAUUUACUCAACUUAGGAUCAUGUUUGUCCAAACACACUUAGCUGGGGAGUUUUGAUGGGAUCCGGUGCAUUAAUGCUGGUAUGUUCGCACCCUAUAGGUCUAAGAAGAAUUCACUCCUCAACCAAGGUGUUUAAAGGUGAGACGAUAAUGAGUCGUUAGAAAGGGCUAUGUGUCACGAGUUUUCUAACUAAGUUUAUCUUAGUUCAUUUUGUAACGUAUUUCGGUUGCUUUAUGGUGUUCUAAAAACAUUUCAUAACGAGAGCCUAUAUAUGAUAAACUCAUGUAUUUUAGUAGUUCUGUGUCCAAGUGAAACCUUGUAAUUUCACCCAAGCUAGGUCCUUAUAGUGACCAAUCGAUGCAUGCUUAGUUAUAUAAUAAAGACUAAAUAGACCUUCGAGUCUGUUACGUAUGUCCUAAGCCCAUCUGGUUAAUAUGAUUCUAGUAAUUAUGGUUUCAGCGAAAAUUUUGACUUCGAUGCAGGUCUACCUCACGUCUAUGCAAGGAAAAGUUUUGAUAGCAACUAGAUCUCUUGAUUAGUAUAACCGCUUAAAUCACAAUGUCGUGCUUACGCCUAGAAUAGAGUAGCACCAACGCAUACUCAUGCACCUAAUUUACAAGGUCUUGUGAGCGGUAUGAACUCUACUCACGACGAUCCGUCCCUUGCGAUGCCUGAGGUAAAGUCGAUGCACCUUGCAGCUCUGCCAAUCGAUGUUUGGCUGCAAUCCUCCUCUCUUUGGAUGUCGUGUGUCUAUCGUGUUACUCUCUUGCCUCUGCCCGAGCCGUGAUAAGGUUCUAAACAGAAUGUUGGCCUCUGAAAUAGUAGUCUAUCUCUGAGUCACGGGUACAUGAGACAGUAGGGUCUGUAGUAGCGCGCAGUUUCCGAACUUUGGUUGUAGCCUACCUGCUUUAAUCCCCAAUGUCCGCGAUCUAUCGGGUCUUCGCCGGGAGGGCUCUGUCAGCCUGGAGGGCUCAAUCUGGUGUCACUCUGAAUGGGUAACUCACCUUUCUUGGAGUUAUGCAUGUUGAAUCUUUUCAAAACUUUGUCCACAUAGUUGCUUUGACUAAGUCCAAUUAGUCUUUUACUCAUGUUUCUCAAAAUCCUUAUCCCUAGGAUAUAGGCAGCUUCACCAAGGUCCUUCAUUGCGAAACACUUCCCAAUCCAAGACUUUACUUCCUGCAGGGUUAGGAUGUCAUUUCCUAUGAGUAGUAUAUCAUCCACAUACAGUACCAAAAAGCUGACUAUACUCCCACUAGCCUUGAUAUAGACACAUGAUUCAUCUUCUCUCCUUGAAAAGCCAAAUUCUUUGACUUUCUCAUCAAAGCAAAGAUUCCAUCUGCGAGGUGCCUGUUUCAAUCCAUAAAUGAAUUUCUCGAGUUUACACACUCUAUUGGGGUACUCUGUCACACCCCCAAACCAAGGAUGGCGAAAACGUCCGGGGGUGGCGGACUUCGUGUAUAGUAUCACAACAACGAGUAUAAUAGUGCUCAAAGUAAAUACAACCAUCAUAAAUAUAAUUGAGAAAGUUACAUCAUAGCAAGUUUACGUGUUUCAAAAUCAAUGACAUUAUGAUGACAAAACAAAAUGUUUGACGAUUUAUCGUCCCAUCCUCAAAAAGCUGUUGGUUUUCCCGUUUCACUGAUUUCCUGAGAAUACAAGUAGUUUUGAAGAAGUCUCAACAAUUAAGUUGGUGAGUUCAUAAGAGUUUUGUUUUAUAAUGAAACCGUUUUCCUUGUAAAAGUAACAAAGUAUGUUUCCAGAAAAUCCAAUAUUUUCCUUAUUAUGUAUGAAAUGAAUGCUUCUUUGUUAUGCGAUAACAAAUCCUAGAAAGACCCAUAGAUUCCUUCUAUAAAUACUCAGAGUAUAUAAAUUAUAUAAAAAUUAAGUUAAAUAAACCGUUGAAUAUAAUAGGUCUGCCCUAGGUCCCCAACCAAACGAGGAACAGGAGAUAAGGCGGGCCCACCAAUUCUAAGUUGAUUGUGACUAGAUUCUUAUAUAACUCUAGCAUAUACACUUAGCAAUUAUAGCUGAAGUCUAACAAUACUAGAUGGAAUAUAGAUUUAAUAUCACGAAAACUAUUUCAUGUGAACCUGGUACUUUGUAUUUGUACCCCUUUUUGUAUGAAAACCUGGUACAAUGUAUUUGUACCCCUUUUCGUAUAAAACCGAUACUUUGUAUUUGUACCCCUUUUCGUAUAAAAACGAUACUUUGUAUUUGUACCCCUUUUCGUAUGAAAACCUGGUACUUUGUAUUUGUACCCCUUUUCUUAUGAAAACGUGGUACUUUGUAUUUGUACCCCUUUUCGUAUGAAAACCUGGUACUUUGUAUUUGUACCCCUUUUUGUAUACAACCGGUACUUUGUAUUUGUACCCCUUUUUGUAUGAAAACCUUUUGUAAUGUAAAUGAACAUAAACUAUACCUAUUAUAGUUUAUCAAGAUGUUUGAAAUGUAUAAGCAACCUAACUAUACCUAUUAUAGUUUAGUAUGUUUGUUGGUGGUGUAUAAGAACCCUUUUCUAUGUAAGUCGAAUGUAUAGCAAAAUAUAACUAUGUUUAUCUUGCUCCGUUUUGUACUAAUGGUAAUGAUGGAGGAUUCUUACAAUUCAGUGAGUAUUUUCUAUUAUAUAAUUAUACCACAACAAGAACACAUGUAAAGUAUGAAGUCAUCAAAGAUUUGACACUUUGCUCAACAUGUUACAAAGUGUGUUCAAAGUUAUAAGUUGUUAAGUAGUUUUUAACUUUUCUACACUGUUUUAGAAAGAUCAUAGAAAAAUCAUACAAAGUCGAAAACUGAAUCCAUAAAUUCUGAGAAUUCCUAAACUGUGUCUAGUUUAUUCAUAAUUUGUAUCAUGAUUUUUGGAAGCCUUUAACUUGUGUUAAAAUGUUCAUAUUCAUAGACUGGUCCAGAUUUGUUCUUGAAAUGAUAGGCUGUUUUGCAAAAAUCACCAUAAAUUAUAGAAAAAUCGUGUGGAGAUGUGCAAGUAGACAUUUUAAAGCUAAGAACUGGAACUACUUGCACCUAAAACAGAUUUGAAAAAUAAAAUGUUUAUGUUUCCCAAAACAGUCCGUGAAUAGAGUUGAACUUUUCUGAUGAAGGAUGUUAAAUGAGUUUGGUUGUGUUCUUGGUGUUUUAACUUGUAUCCCCUCCCUUAAAAACUUAAGAAAACAUGAAAAUGUAGGGGUAUGAACUCACCUUAUGUGAUGUAAGUGGGUGGAUGUUGAAGGAGAGAAGUGUUCAACUCAAGAACAGUUGAAGAUGCCUAGAAGAUUUUCGAGAAUCAAACAUCAAGGUGAUGGAAUUUGUGUAAGCAUUCCAUGAUAUGAGUAAAGGGUAGUGUAAUAAUCAUAGAGAGGAUGAAUUAUACUUACCAAGAGUAUGAGAAAGCUUGAUAAUCAGCCUUGAAUCUCGAAUUUGAGGGAGAAAGUUUGAGAGAAAUGGUGUUUGAUCUUCUUGGUGAAAAUGAGGAAAAAUGAGUAAAGUGAUGGGAGAGA
rnacentral:lncRNA from 1 species